UUUGUGGAGAGUUUGAUCCUGGCUCAGGACGAACGCUGGCGGCGUGCUUAACACAUGCAAGUCGAACGGAAAGGCCCCUAGCUUGCUGGGGGUACUCGAGUGGCGAACGGGUGAGUAACACGUGGGUGAUCUGCCCUGCACUUCGGGAUAAGCUUGGGAAACUGGGUCUAAUACCGGAUAUGAACGGUCUUUGGUGUGAUUGUUG
rnacentral:rRNA from 1 species